rnacentral:rRNA from 1 species
GAUGAACGCUGGCGGCGUGCCUAAUACAUGCAAGUCGAGCGAACAGACGAGGAGCUUGCUCCUCUGACGUUAGCGGCGCACGGGUGAGUAACACGUGGAUAACCUCCCUAUAAGACUGGGAUAACUUCGGGAAACCGGAGCUAAUACCGGAUAAUAUAUUGAACCGCAUGGUUCAAUAGUGAAAGACGGUUUUGCUGUCACUUAUAGAUCGAUCCGCGCCGCAUUAGCUAGUUGGUAAGGUAACGGCUUACCAAGUCAACGAUGCGUAGCCGACCUGAGAGGGUGAUAGGCCACACUGGAACUGAGACACGGUCCUGACUCCUACGGGAGGGAGCAGUAGUGAAUCUUCCGCAAUGGGCGAAAGCCUGACGGAGCAACGCCGCGUGAGAGAUGAAAGUCUUCGGAUCGUGACGCUCUGUUAUUGGGGAAGAACAAAUGUGUAAGUAGCUGUGCACGUCUUGACGGUACCGGAUCAGAAAGCCACGGCUAACUACGUG